rnacentral:tRNA from 1 species
UCCCUGGUGGUCCAGUGGCUAGGACUCUUGUGUUUUCACUGCAGGGGUCUGGGUUCAAUCCCUGGUUAGGGAA